rnacentral:rRNA from 1 species
UAGGGAAUCUUCCGCAAUGGACGCAAGUCUUACGGAGCAACGCCGCGGGAGUGAAGAAGGAUUUCGGUUCGUAAAACUCUGUUGUUAGAGAAGAACAGCGCAUAGAGUAACUGUUAUGCGUGUGACGGUAUCUAACCAGAAAGCCACGGCUAACUACGUGCCAGCAGCCGCGGUAAUACGUAGGGGGCAAGCGUUGUCCGGAUUUAUUGGGCGUAAAGCGAGCGCAGGCGGUCAAUUAAGUCUGAUGUGAAAGCCCCCGGCUCAACCGGGGAGGGUCAUUGGAAACGGGUUGACUUGAGUGCAGAAGAGGAGAGUGAAAUUCCAUGUGUAGCGGUGAAAUGCGUAGAUAUAGGGGGGAACACGAGUGGCGAGGGCGACUCUCUGAUAUGUAACUGACGCUGGGGUUCGAAAGCGUGGGUAGAAAACAGG